GGGCUGCUAGCUCAAUGGCAGAGCAGGGCACUCUUAAUGCCAAGGUUCAGGGUUCGACUCCCUGGCAGCCCA
rnacentral:tRNA from 1 species